rnacentral:lncRNA from 1 species
AGUGGCCGCGGGUUUGCCUAAGGCCAUUCGGGCUUGGUGUCCCCUCAGGGCUUGAGCUCGAAGGUCCGAGCUUCUGUCGCCCUGAGGAAGUUGUCAUAUUUUGCGUCGAAAGCUUCCUUGAAGGCUGAGACUCCUGAUGGGAGCCCCACUCCUUGCUGUGACGGGGUUCUAUGCACCUCGGGCGCUGUUUGUUUUCCAAUCGUCGUUGAUGGGGUCCAUCGCCUUUCCUUUUUUUUUCGCUUGGAAUCUUUCUCCGCUCUCAGCGAGGCUACGGGAGUUUGGCUCCCGUAGGCGAAGUCGGGGCGAAGUUUGGCUCCUGUGGGAGUCUGGG